GAUGAACGCUGGCGGCGUGCCUAAUACAUGCAAGUCGAGCGAACAGACGAGGAGCUUGCUCCUUUGACGUUAGCGGCGGACGGGUGAGUAACACGUGGGUAACCUACCUAUAAGACUGGGAUAACUUCGGGAAACCGGAGCUAAUACCGGAUAAUAUUUCGAACCGCAUGGUUCGAUAGUGAAAGAUGGCUCUGCUAUCACUUAUAGAUGGACCUGCGCCGUAUUAGCUAGUUGGUAAGGUAACGGCUUACCAAGGCAACGAUACGUAGCCGACCUGAGAGGUUGAUCGGCCACACUGGAACUGAGACACGGUCCAGACUCCUACGGGAGGCAGCAGUAGGGAAUCUUCCGCAAUGGGCGAAAGCCUGACGGAGCAACGCCGCGUGAGUGAUGAAGGUCUUCGGAUCGUAAAACUCUGUUAUUAGGGAAGAACAAACGUGUAAGUAACUGUGCACGUCUUGACGGUACCUAAUCAGAAAGCCACGGCUAACUACGUG
rnacentral:rRNA from 1 species